GGAGUUGCUGCUGAUCCUUGUCCCAGCUUCUCCCAUGUUCUCUCUCUAUGUUUUUACCUUGAAAACUUCUGCUCAGAGCUGGGAAUGCCUGAAGGGCUUGCACGGAAUUGUUUCAUGGGAUAUACCCUUACCAACAAAACAAUGCUGUGAUCAUAUGAUGGUAGUGUACUCAUUGCUAUGGAUGGAGAAGUCUAAGGAUUGGGAGCCAAUCAGACCUAAAAAGGAAAAGAACUAAUGGAUUGCUUUAA